rnacentral:rRNA from 1 species
GCUGGCGGCGUGGAUUAGGCAUGCAAGUCGAACGAGAAAGGGUUCGCAAGGACCCGAGUAAAGUGGCGAAUGGGUGAGUAGUACCUAGGUAACCUGCCCUGAAGCUGGGGAAAACAGUUCUAACGGACUGCUAAUACCCAAUGUGACGGCGAUCUCGAAUGGGAACGCCGGGAAACGGUAGCCUCUGUUUACAAGCUUCCGCUUCGGGAGGGGCCUCGGGCCUAUCAGAUAGUUGGCGGGGUAACGGCCCACCAAGUCUGGGACGGGUAGCCGGUCUGAGAGGAUGGUCGGCCACACUGGGACUGAGAUACUGCCCAGACUCCUACGGGAGGCUGCAGUCGAGGAUCUUCUGCAAUGGGCGCAAGCCUGACAGAGCGACGCCGCGUGGGGGAGGAAGGCCUUCGGGUUGUAAACCCCUGUUGCCGGUUAAGAAUGCUGGGGUGCAAAUAGCGCUUCCAGUUGACUAAGGCCGGUGAGGAAGCCACGGCUAACUACGUGCCAGCAGCCCGCGGUAAGACGUAGGUGGCGAGCGUUGUUCGGAAUCACUGGGCAUAAAGCGCGCGUAGGCGGCCAAGUCAGUCAGGUGUGAAAGCCCUC